AGGGAUUGAAUUUGUGGCCAUGGACAGCAUGGCACUGAUAAUACAAGAAGAAUGGGACACCUUUGGUGGAUGUGGAGCGGAAGGAACACUGAAGCCACAGUGGAAGAAAUCCAUGGACCACAGUUUGAAAGCCGCUGAACUAAGAGUCAAGGUGGAUGGAUGUGGCAGAUGGAAGAUGCUUCCUCCAUUUCACUUGAACUAAGAAGAUUUUGGGUGUGCACUUCUGGAACUAAAGGUCUGAUACUCGCAUGACAGAAAUGGACCAUCUAGCUGGAAAGAUUCAGUACCACUCAUACAAGGUUUCAACUACACAAAGACUCUCAGGAAAAUGGUAUCCAAUUAUGAUAUUUGAGAACUGCUUCACAUCUCUAAGGGCAGUACUAUUGGAAUUUAAAAGCUUUUAAUUCAGUUUAGCUUGAAUGGUCUUGGGAAGUGAAAGAAGCAAAAUAAAUGUUAGCCUUUUCUCAUUCUACAUAAUAGUGUCUGUACAGGAUGUAACACAGGGACUACCAUAGUUCACUUUUAGUUCAUAUUUUUAAUUCAUUCAGACUUUUAUUUUUUUUUUUUACUGUUUGAGUUCAGAUAAGUCCUGGGAGGCCAACCAGAGGCACCAGCUUUAUUUGAAGAAGGACAUAAAAGUCCAUGACUAGUCCAUGAUUUAGGAUAACCUGCUACAAUUACUAGUGCUACAUUGGCUAGUAUAAAGAUGCAAGUGAUUUCUCUAGAGUUUAUUUUGUAAAUUCUGUAAAUUUCACUGCUGGUGAGUAAUGAAUAUUUUCAAAUAAAUCUUAUCUUCAAUAAAUCUUAUUUUCCUUCUCUCAGUCUCAUAGUGUAACAGGAUAGAGCUUAUGAAGACAUGAAGCAAUUUCUGAACAGCAGCUCUUUAAAAUUUAAACACAUCUACUAGGAUGCAUACUGGACACAGGCUCAUUUUCAGGAAACUCUUCAUAGCAUUGUUUCCAGACCCAUUUACACACUGGAAUCCUCCAUGCACAGACAGCAAUUUUAAGGGCGUAUGCUGCCCAGCAACUGAAAUAGAAUACAUUCAAGCUCCUGCUCCAUUU